GUAGUUUUCGUGACAGAAUAAUAUUUUUUUUUACCGUGUGUGUUUGUCUACCUAAAAUAAUAAAUACGUGCUUUUCAAACAUUCAUUUUUAAUAAUACAAAUAAUAUCUCAUCGAAUUUGUGACUAAGAAAUCAAAAAGUUAUGUUUUUAUAGGUUUCAUUCAUGUACUUUGUGCCAAAUAGCGUCAGUACGCAUUCAACGUGUUAACUACCACGAGAAAAAGUACACCUCAAAACACAAUCAUCGGUCAAUAGGAGACCUAGAUCCAGGUAUCGUAUACAUUCCAAGCCUGAGUGAUCGAGACUACCCACGUCCAUUGAUCGGGUUCAUUUUUCUAAGUUCCAACUGCAUAUAUCAUGCAAUAGAUCUAAUAACACCAAUGUCAAUCGUGAAAGAGUUAUUUAUCAUGGGAAUACUGAAAAAUACUAAAGAACAGAUUAAAACCAGGCGCUGUUCUAUCAUUAUUUUUAGAUAACGCACCUAAUGCUUUGCUGACAGUGUCAAUUAAUGAGGUGCCUGUAUUAAGUACAUGUGAAGAUCAAUUGAUAAGUCCAAUAGUUAAUGAAGCUGCUGAACAGUCAUCAGAAGACAACACAACAAUGUAAAAGAUAAUACUUCCAUGACAAUUGAUGAUUCAUCUAAUAGCUUGUCCAUUACUUUGGAACCAAUUGAAAAAAGAACUUCACAAUGUUUUGGAAUACUGAAGAUUUUACAAUGGAUGAACACGGGUUUAUUUUACAAGAAAUAAAAAUAAUAUUCUAGGUACUAUGUAAAAAAUUCCUAGAACAUUAUUUUGAAUUUCUUUAAAAUGCCUAUUACAACAACGAAAGAGUCAAACGAUCUUUUAUAAAAAAUUCAUAGUAUUGAAAAAUGUUGUGGUAGGGGUAGAUUUGUCUUUGAACAAUGUAUACGGUAUUUUGAAAAUAGUUUAGAAGAACUAUUAAAAGUUUUAAAAACAAAGUGAGUCUACUGGAGGAUCCUAAGUCCUAAUAUAAGACACUCGUUCUUUGAAAAACUAUUAAUAUUUUUAAAAUAUAUUUUUCCAUAACUUAAAGUUGUCAAAAAACGACAUAUUUUUAAAAAAUAUAAACAUAUUAUUUACUUUUUUUUUUACUAUAAUUGUUUUAAUUGUUUGCUUUUUUAGUGAUAACAUAUGUUUUUAGUUCCAUAUUAUUAAAAUGUUUUUUUGGAAUACUUAGAUAUAUUACAAUCAAAUUUUGUACGAGUAGUUAAUGAUUUACCUAUGUAAAUUCUUUUUAGGAUACAUUUUUGAUGUUAAGAGGAUGCCACACAGACAUUUGAUGUCUCCGUCUUACAAGUGUGUAACAUACCAAAUUUACGCUUAGCAGAUAAAGUUUAGCUCAGUUAGUUUAAAAAUUAUAGUGAAUCGACCUAUAAUAAUACUUGAGGUUAAGAACAUUAUCUGUGUUCGUGUUUUUUUUUACGAUUUUACAGUAUUUAAGUGAGUUAUGAUCAUUUUUAAUUUACGUUAUAUUAUGUACGCAUCACUUGUUAAAAAUUGAACUAUCGUAAACUAUGAUAAGUACACUAUCUGUGUUCGUAUGUUGGUUACACAAAUAAUGUCCUUACCAUCAAGUUUUGUAAUAGGUCGAUUCACUCUAAUUUUUAAACUAACAGAGCUAAACGUUAUCUACUGUGCGUAAUUUUGCUAUGUUACGCACAUGUAGGACAAAGACAACAAAUGUCCGCGUGGACAAUUGAUUCCUAUUUUUCUUAUAGAUUAAAACUCCCUACAAAAUACAGAUAUUUUUAAAGGAAAGGUAUUAAUUAUAUUAAUUAUUUUUUAGUGCAUAUUUGAAUAUUUUAAUGUAAUAUUAAUAUAUUAAUUAAAACCAUCUGUAAUAUAAUAUUUGAUAUUCCAGAUGGUUUUAAAGCGAGUCUACGUUGACAAUUUCUAAAAUAAUCAUCUAGUUCGGUUGAAUUCAAAGAACAAGAUCAUUCCCUUACUGUAUUUUUGUGGACAAAAUUACACAUUGGCACCAUUUAAUCUGAAAUGUACGUUUAUAUUUUUCCUGGUAUUCUCAUAUGGAGAGUCAAAUUUAAAAUUGUAACGGUGACCAUUGAUCACAUGUUUUGUAUUAUAAAUUUUAAAAUUUUAUGUACAUUUUGGACGAGAACUGAUGAUAAAACUAUUACCACGCUGAAAUGCUUAUGUACAGGCAACAGGCUUCGUGAAUUUUUAAGAAGUCAUCUGUCAUUAUAAGUCAUACCUAAUAUAUAAAAUUAAAAAUUAAAAAUUAAAAGUAUGGCAAAUUAUUUUAAGUAAUUGUGUAUUUAUAAUUAUUUUAUUAUUAUAAUUAUUUAUUCUUAAAAUAGUAUAUUCAUGUCUGUCCAUAUUUAAAAAAUUUUGUAUUAAUUUUAGUAGAUUGGUUUUGGUUCAUAUUGUAUUAUAGUGUAUGGGUUGUGUACUGUGUGACCAACUCAUGUCUCAUACUGAUCGCAAUCACAUUUCGCAAUUUAAUUUUAUCUUGUAAAAUAUAUUUCCUAGUUUAUUUAUGUCGUACAAUGUGUCCGCGAAUUUAUUUUUACUCAAACUAUAUGUUAUAUGUAUAUUUGUAUUAUAACUAUAACUAUAAUGUGUCUAAUUAAACUGAAUGUUAAAUUUUUAAGAUUUUGAUGAAUUUUGUCAAAAAUUGAACUUUAAAUGCUUAUGGGACUUGUGCCUGUGCAUCAUUAUUGUUUUUAAACUUAAAAAUCUUAAAUUAUUUAUUAUCUAUAUAAUAUUAUAUAAUAUGUAUGUACUAUGCACAUUUAUGCAAU